rnacentral:tRNA from 1 species
GCUGGGGUAGCUCAGUUGGUAGAGCACCUCCUUGGUAAGGAGGAGGUCGUGGGUUCAAAUCCCAUCCCCAGCU